CCUUGCUAAAUAUUUAUUAAUAAGCUAUAAUAAUAUAGCUUAUUAAUAAAAGUACUGAUGUAUGGUAAUUCGUUGGGGCCUAUGCAAUGAAAACCUAUGAACCUCGUCAGGUCUGAGAAGAAGCAGCGAUAAAUAGUUAUUUUUAUGUGCCAUGGGGAAACCUGGCGAAUUAUCAUACACGAGUACUUUUAAAAUAGAGUGAAGCAGCG
rfam:Megasphaera sp. TPII 135-E contig00004, whole genome shotgun sequence.